rnacentral:lncRNA from 1 species
UAACUUUAGUUUUUGUAAAAAUGGAAGAAGGCUUCGUUUUUGAAAUAUAUGUACUGGUCAGGGGUUUGUUCAUCGCGAACGCGGAGAGGGGCUCGCGUUCGUGGUGAGGAAAAAUUCAAGUGGAUGGAGAUUGCUCUUUGCGAAUGCGAGGAUAGGGCUGAACGCAAAGUCCUCGGAUUAGAACCUAUGCAAACGUGACGCGAGACACGCGAACGUGUAGAAGAGAAAAAAGAGCGGUCCAGAACUGACCCUACGUGAACGCGUUAGCAAGGACACGAACGCGAAAGAGGGGAAGUUGAGCUUCGCAAACACGUGGAAGAGGGACGCGAACAUGAUGAAGGGAAAGGGUAAAGAUUCGCGAACGCGGGGCUUCCUUCGCGAAUGCGAAGAAGGAUAGCAGACCUGCAAUUUUUCUGCUGCAAUUAUAAACACCA